GACGAAGGAUGCAAGCGUUAUCCGGAUUCAUUGGGUUUAAAGGGUGCGUAGGCGGACUGAUAAGUCAGUGGUGAAAUCUCUUUGCUUAACAAAGAAACUGCCAUUGAUACUGUCGGUCUAGAGUAUAGAUGACGUUGGCGGAAUAUGACAUGUAGUGGUGAAAUACUUAGAUAUGUCAUAGAACACCGAUUGCGAAGGCAGCUAACGAAACUAUAACUGACGCUGAGGCACGAAAGCCAGGGGAGCAAACGGG
rnacentral:rRNA from 1 species